rnacentral:tRNA from 1 species
GCUGUCGUAGCUUACUUCCCCAAAGCAUGGCUCUGAAGAUGCCAAGAUGGAGCCACUCCCGACAACA